AGGCUUUUGAAUGGUAACUGC
rnacentral:siRNA from 1 species